AGCAUACCCUCCGGGGUGGAUGGGUACACUGUGGAGACCGCGCUGCUAAAGCGGAGGAAGGAGUGGGCAACGGUAGGUCAGUAUGCCCCGAAUCUCCCGGGCUACACGCGGGCUACAAUGGUUGGUACAAUGGGCAUCUACCCCGAAAGGGGAAGGAAAUCUCUUAAAGCCAAUCGUAGUUCGGAUUGAGGGCUGCAACUCGCCCUCAUGAAGCUGGAAUCCGUAGUAAUCGCGUUUCAACAGAACGCGGUGAAUACGUCCCUGCUCCUU
rnacentral:rRNA from 1 species